rnacentral:rRNA from 1 species
AGCGACUGUGCAGGUUACCGCGGCUGCUGGCACGGAGUUAGCCGGUGCUUCUUCUGUGAGUGAUGUCCUUCCUGCCGGCUAUUAACCCGCAGGCCUUCUUCCUCACUGAAAGUGCUUUACAACCCGAAGGCCUUCUUCACACACGCGGCAUGGCUGGAUCAGGGUUGCCCCCAUUGUCCAAUAUUCCCCACUGCUGCCUCCCCGUAGGAGUCUGGGCCGUGUCUCAGUCCCCAGUGUGGCUGAUCAUCCUCUCAGACCAGCUACGGAUCGUCGCCUUGGUGAGUCCGUUACCUCACCACCAGCUAACUCCGACAUAGGCUCAUCCGAUAGCGCGAGGCCCGAACGGUCCCCCGCUUUCCCCCGGUAGGGCUAGUGCGGUAUUAGCCGUGGGUUUCCCCCAGGUUACUCCCCCGACGUACCGGGCAAGUCUUCCUAUG